UCCUGGCUCAGGACGAACGCUGGCGGCGUGCUUAACACAUGCAAGUCGAACGAUGAAGCCGGAGCUUGCUCCGGUGGAUUAGUGGCGAACGGGUGAGUAACACGUGAGUAACCUGCCCUUGACUCUGGGAUAAGCGUUGGAAACGACGUCUAAUACCGGAUACGAGCUUCAGCCGCAUGGCUAGGAGCUGGAAAGAAUUUCGGUCAAGGAUGGACUCGCGGCCUAUCAGGUAGUUGGUGAGGUAACGGCUCACCAAGCCGACGACGGGUAGCCGGCCUGAGAGGGUGACCGGCCACACUGGGACUGAGACACGGCCCAGACUCCUACGGGAGGCAGCAGUGGGGAAUAUUGCACAAUGGGCGCAAGCCUGAUGCAGCAACGCCGCGUGAGGGAUGACGGCCUUCGGGUUGUAAACCUCUUUUGGUAGGGAAGAAGCCUUCGGGUGACGGUACCUGCAGAAAAAGCGCCGGCUAACUACGUGCCAGCAGCCGCGGUAAUACGUAGGGCGCAAGCGUUAUCCGGAAUUAUUGGGCGUAAAGAGCUCGUAGGCGGUCUGUCGCGUCUGCUGUGAAAACCCGAGGCUCAACCUCGGGCCUGCAGUGGGUACGGGCAGACUAGAGUGCGGUAGGGGAGAUUGGAAUUCCUGGUGUAGCGGUGGAAUGCGCAGAUAUCAGGAGGAACACCGAUGGCGAAGGCAGAUCUCUGGGCCGUAACUGACGCUGAGGAGCGAAAGGGUGGGGAGCAAACAGGCUUAGAUACCCUGGUAGUCCACCCCGUAAACGUUGGGAACUAGUUGUGGGGUCCAUUCCACGGAUUCCGUGACGCAGCUAACGCAUUAAGUUCCCCGCCUGGGGAGUACGGCCGCAAGG
rnacentral:rRNA from 1 species